rnacentral:rRNA from 1 species
UUGUUAAAUAUAGGAAGUGUAUAAUAAAAUUAUUUAUGGUUUAAUAAUUUAUUUAGUAAAGUGAAUUGAAGUGUUGUUGUGGAGCUAUAGUGAAUAGUACUGUGAAGGAAAGAUGAAAUAUUUGAAAAUCAAUUGGGUGGAAAGUAGUAUUAGAUAUUCGUACCUUGUGUAUCAGGGAAAACUAAAAUUGUUUUGGUAUAAAGGGGAUCCCGAAAGAAAAAGAGCUAAGUCAAUAAUAAGGUUUUCGUAUUAAUGAAAUCUCGAAUUUUGUUUUAGUGGUGAAAUGUUAGUCGAUUUUUUAUAUCUGGUUAUUAAUGAAUUAAAUUUAAUUUAGGUAAUUGGUUGAUUAAAAGUAGUUAUUAAUUAGUAAAGAAUAGGAGGGAAAAGCUUCUUGUUCUAUAAUAUUUGAACUGUAAUACUCUGUAAUUAUAGGUGUAAAGUUAAGCUUAAAAACAGCUAUAUUUAUAAAACGUUCUAGUUAAUAUAAUUUGAUUUUAAUAUUUAUAUAGAUAUUCAGUAAUAUGUAGUUAAUAUUUUUAUAUAAUAUGAGUUUAGAAGUUAUAUUGGUUUUAUUAGUAGAGUUAGUGAGAAUGUAAAGGAAUAUAAAUAUUGAAUUUAAUAUAAGUUAUUAUAGGGGUUGAGAUAUAAUUAAGGAAUUCGGCAAGUUUAACUUUUGCCUGUUUAUCAAAAACAUGUCUGUAUGAUUGUUAUAUAGAGUCUGGCCUGCCCACUGAUGUUGAAUUGAAGGGCCGCGGUAUUUUGACCGUGCGAAGGUAGCAUAAUCAUUAGUCUUUUAAUUGGAGGCUUGUAUGAAUGGUCGGACAAAAAGUUAACUGUCUCAUUUAUAUAAAUUGAAUUUAACUUUUAAGUGAAAAGGCUUAAAUGUACUGAGGGGACGAUAAGACCCUAUAAAGCUUUACAAUAAGUUAAUUAAAUUAUAAAUUGUUAGUAUAACUUGGUUUAGUUAUUAUUUGUUUCGUUGGGGCGACGAGAAUAUAAUUAUAUAUAACUGUUCUUUUAAGAAGAAAACAAGGUUAAUUGGAUUAGAAUUGAUCCUUUAAUAAAGAUUAAAAGAUUAAGUUACUUUAGGGAUAACAGCGUAAUUUUCUUUGAGAGUCCAUAUCGACAAGAAGGGUUGCGACCUCGAUGUUGAAUUAAGGUACCUUUGCGAUGCAGCAGUUGCGUGAGGAGGUCUGUUCGACCUUUAAAUCCUUACAUGAUUUGAGUUCAGACCGGCGUGAGCCAGGUCGGUUUCUAUCUCUCAGGGGGUAAAGAUUUACUUUAGUACGAAAGGAUUAAGUAAUUGGAAUAAUUUCAUGAAUGAAGGAUAAUUUUAACAUUACUGUUCUGGCAGAGUUAUGCAUUGGACUUAGGAUCCAAUUAUAUGGAGUGAAAAUCCCAU